rnacentral:rRNA from 1 species
AUUGAACGCUGGCGGCAUGCCUUACACAUGCAAGUCGAACGGCAGCACGGGAGCUUGCUCCUGGUGGCGAGUGGCGAACGGGUGAGUAAUGCAUCGGAACGUGCCCUGAAGUGGGGGAUAACGUAGCGAAAGUUACGCUAAUACCGCAUAUUCUGUGAGCAGGAAAGCAGGGGAUCUUCGGACCUUGCGCUUUUGGAGCGGCCGAUGUCGGAUUAGCUAGUUGGUGGGGUAAAGGCUCACCAAGGCGACGAUCCGUAGCGGGUCUGAGAGGAUGAUCCGCCACACUGGGACUGAGACACGGCCCAGACUCCUACGGGAGGCAGCAGUGGGGAAUUUUGGACAAUGGGCGGAAGCCUGAUCCAGCCAUGCCGCGUGAGUGAAGAAGGCCUCGGUU